GGGUCAGAUCCUGCCGCCCCUGUAAACACUCUAUCAAAAUAUUUUAAUAUUUCAACACGAAUGGGACAUCUGUUACAACGAUAAAACUGGUAAAUAAAAUAGCAGGUUUUUGUCGGGUUUUACAACGCACCAACACUGUAAAGGUCAUUAUAGCGACUUUCAAUCUUUACUGAUGGAGGAGGACUUCAGGUGACCCUCCAUGCAGUAUUUUAGACACGUACGAACACCCAAGUAGAAACACCGCCGUUCGUAAGCUUGCUGGAGAGCUCCCACACAUGAAAGAAUCCAGUCCCUGGCGGGAUUCGACCCCACAACAGUGAGGGGCACGUGGUUUGAAAUCAACGACCUUAACAGCUCAAUUAAACCGAGUAAUAAAACAUCGCAUGUUAUCUGAGAGGAAUGUGUGACACUGAGGAUAUCUUUGCACGUCAGCAUCAUGAUUGAGUGUGUCUAAGGGGAAGGUACAGUUGAAACAGGGCACGUAACAAUGGGAUAGUCAUUUUAAAUAAUAGCAUCCCUGCGAAAAUACAUAAGGGUAUUACCGCUUGUAUAAAUCGUACCAGUGCUUCUCCCAAGAGUCCGGCUAAUUCGGCAUUGGGUGUUAUUUGAAUGUAUAGUAUGUUCGAAUCUUAGGGAAACAUUAUUCUUCAUAUUUCUUCUUUUUGUAUUUUAUUUUGCGAAAUUUCGGCAAUGAGUGUUAUUAAGAAAAAUAUUGAAUAUAUCAGUAUGCUUAUAAUUUUUUCAAUAAAUUCUAAACUAGAAAUUGUCACUAGUACCGAAUACCCCGACACGUGCUUGUCGUUAUAGGGUAAUGUCUCGGACAAAGUUCAAAAAGUAAACUUAACAAAGGGCAAUAACUCAAAAAUUAGGCAGAACGGAUUUAAGGUUCUUUUGCACUGCACUUUUACUCAAUGAGAUCUAUCAACCUACAAAAUUUGAAGUUGAUAUCUCCUGUGUAUUUUGAGAUAUAUCCCGGACAAGAAAUUCCGCAACGGACCGACCGACCAACCAACUGACCACGAACUGACUAACACGUCGUUUGAUGAAAUUUCUAACUAAACGUGUAUAUAUUUUUCUCACCGGUAAAGGGACACAACUACGAUUUUUGACAUGAAGAAUCUGGAAAUUUGUUUUCAGGAUUUGUGUACCAUUUCAUGUAGGUCUGGACCAAUAACGAGCGCACGAAAUUAACAUUUUUUCGUAUUUUAUUCCAGUUAAUUAUCCGUAUACCACUAUUAACGUGCCAGCUAUUAUCCUUUCUUACUUUUAUUUUUAUGCCUCUGAAAUGUUCUUCUCUUUUUUAGAAUGUGUACACAUGGGUUUUGUAACAUUUUAAAAAUAAUGGUUUAGAGAGCAUGUUUAAUGCUAAUCGCCUGAAGAAAGAAGCGCUGAAUAUGAAAUUAUUUAUCAAAAAAGUAGCAAAACGUAAUCAAUCAUACAAUAUACUAUAUAACACUACUAAUUGUCAAAAGGCAUAAGAAGCUAAAAAAGUUUCAUGAGUAAUAUGUUUGAAACUAUAGCAUGACAACAAAAAUAAAAAAGCUUUUUUUUUUGAGAAAUAAAAAUAAAAGCAUGUUUUGGGCAUAAAAAUUGCAAUUUAAAAUAAAUUUAUAUAAUUAUCAUUUUUAACAUGAAUUUAGUAAUUGUUAUUUUUUUGUUGUUGUGUUUUGGAUAUCAACCCAAAAUAGCUUAUUUGUUUUGUUGGGUUUUCUUGCUGUUGUUGUUGUUGCUAUUGUUGUUGUUGUUGAUGAUGAUAAUGCUGGUGCUGUUGUUGUUUUUUUUCUUGGUGAUAUGUUGUUGUUGCUUUUAUUGUCUGUUCUCUGUCGUUUAAACAUUUCCAGCAAUCCUUUGUUGGAAGUCCACAGUAAGGUGAACAUUAGCCA